AGUGUCUUCUAAGUCCCCAGGCUGCUUUGGCAAAAAGAUGGUGAUAAAAGAAACACCCAAGUGAAGUGGAUCCAGAGUACAAGCCUUUACUCUGGGAACCAUUGCCAAGGAGAUGAUUAUUCAUUAAUGGUGGAUAUAAUCUUUGACCUGGAAGCCCUGUGCUCUGAGCACAGCCUGUGAAGCAACAGGGCCCUGGGGACAACCACACGUGUGUUCGAAGUCCAGCGCUGCAGGGAGGUGAGGGGUGCUGACACCAGGUUUUGAAUGGGCUGAGUGGUUUAAAUGAAAAGAGCAGCCAGUCACUGAAGAAAGAGUGAAUAACUCUCUCUGCCCGCCUGCUUUAGUGAGGACACGUUUACCAGGUGCCUCAUGAGGGACUCGAGGAAAAUACCAGAGACACCCAACUCAUUUCAUUUUGAAAACUGUGAAGGGAGAUGGUAGCUGUAGGUACCAGGAAUGUGCUGUCAUUGAAAUACAGUCCCAGUGUUUCUCAGCCUGCUCAUCCUGUGCAGUCUGUGAGAACCAGGGCACAGGGGCAAUGUAAAGUUGGAGCUGGAGAUGCCAGGGCCUGCAGCUGCCUUAGCUCAGGGUCAGCCCACAGCACACGGCUGCCUCAGGGCCCCUGGGGGCCCAGGAAGCCCCAGGUGCAAAUGUGUCUGCGUUGCACAGCUCAGACUCUGGACACACAGAGAAGCCUGUGGUCCCACAGCUCUGCAGAUAAACCACUUCUGGACUAAAAAAGAAAAACAAGAUAAACUGUUGGAGAGCUCUCAGCUGGGUCCUUGCAUGUGGUCUUAUGUGCUGAAAAGAGAGGAGGCCAAAAGAGUUCAGAUCAACAACACAGGG
ensembl:lncRNA